GAAUAUUGGUCAAUGGGUGAGAGCCUGAACCAGCCAUGCCGCGUGCAGGAAGACGGCCUUCUGGGUUGUAAACUGCUUUUGCCAGGGGAUAAAAUUUCUUUGCGAAGAAAAUUGAAGGUACCUGGUGAAUAAGCCACGGCUAACUACGUGCCAGCAGCCGCGGUAAUACGUAGGUGGCAAGCGUUGUCCGGAUUUAUUGGGUUUAAAGGGUGCGUAGGCGGCCUAUUAAGUCAGUGCUGAAAUAUCCCGGCUUAACCGGGAGGGUGGCAUUGAUACUGAUGGGCUAGAGUACAGAUGAGGUAGGCGGAAUUGACGGUGUAGCGGUGAAAUGCUUAGAUAUCGUCAAGAACACCUAUAGCGAAGGCAGCUUACUAGGCUGUAACUGACGCUGAGGCACGAAAGUGUGGGGAUCAAACAGG
rnacentral:rRNA from 1 species